UACGAACCGAGCGAACGUUAUUCGGAAUCACUGGGCUUAAAGGGUGCGUAGGCGGCGCGGUAAGUAGGGUGUGAAAUCCCUCGGCUCAACCGAGGAACUGCGCUCUAAACUACCGUGCUUGAGGGAGGUAGAGGUGAGCGGAACUUAGGGUGGAGCGGUGAAAUGCGUUGAUAUCCUAAGGAACACCGGUGGCGAAAGCGGCUCACUGGAUCUCUUCUGACGCUGAGGCACGAAAGCUAGGGUAGCGAACGGG
rnacentral:rRNA from 1 species